rnacentral:lncRNA from 1 species
UUUACAAGUUUCACAUUUUCUACUCCAAAAUUACUAAAAUAGUUUCAUCUAAAAUUUCAACUUCUUUCUAAAAUUCUCAAUAUGAGUAUAUGAAAAAAGAUCAAUCCUAUUGAAUGAAUUAGAUUGUGUGUUAUCUUUUUCUCAAAAAGAAUUAAAAAGAGAAACACUUUGUGUCGUCGCCUUGGACUUUGGAGUAUCUUACUAUGGGCCUAUUUGGCCUAACUUUUAGAAAAGUAAUUUUUGUGAAAGUACUUUUAGUUUGAAUAAUUGAUUUGGGUGAAAAGCUGUAGAGUAUUGGCUGAAUUUAGAUAAAAGUGAUUUUUCGGAAAUGAUUUUCUAAACUGUUUGGCAAAAAUUUUUUGAUGCUUCCGUGUAUUAAUAUUUUUACUAAAUUUUAUUUUAAAAUAAUUUGAAAUUUGAAUUUAAAUUAAAAAUUAAAUUUGAAUUAAAAGUAUAAUUUUUAAAAUUUCAAUUUUUUACAAAAAAUAAAUUUAAAAUUUCAAAAUUUUAAAUUUGCAAUUUCAAUUUUUAAAUUUUCAAUUUUAAAUUUUGAAUUUCAAAUUUAAAAUCUAAAUUUCAGAUUUUAAAUUUUAAAUUUAA